UACGGGGGGGGCAAGCGUUGUUCGGAAUUACUGGGCGUAAAGGGCGCGUAGGCGGCCUGCUAAGUCGGACGUGAAAUCCCCCGGCUCAACCGGGGAACUGCGUCCGAUACUGGUGGGCUCGAAUCCGGGAGAGGGAUGUGGAAUUCCAGGUGUAGCAGUGAAAUGCGUAGAGAUGUGGAGGAACACCGAUGGCGAAGGCAGCCCCCUGGGCUAACACUGACGCUCAUGCACGAAAGCGUGGGGAGCAAACAGG
rnacentral:rRNA from 1 species